GUGAACGCUGGCGGUAGGCCUAACACCUGCAAGUCGCACGGCAGCACAGUAAGAGCUUGCUCUUACGGGUGGCGAGUGGCGGACGGGUGAGGAAUACAUCGGAAUCUACUUUUUCGUGGGGGAUAACGUAGGGAAACUUACGCUAAUACCGCAUACGACCUACGGUUGAAAGCAGGGGAUCUUCGGACCUUGCGCGAUUGAAUGAGCCGAUGUCGGAUUAGCUAGUUGGCGGGGUAAAGGCCCACCAAGGCGACGAUCCGUAGCUGGUCUGAGAGGAUGAUCAGCCACACUGGAACUGAGACACGGUCCAGACUCCUACGGGAGGCAGCAGUGGGGAAUAUUGGACAAUGGGCGCAAGCCUGAUCCAGCCAUACCGCGUGGGUGAAGAAGGCCUUCGGGUUGUAAAGACCUUUUGUUGGGAAAGAAAAGCAGCAGGUUAAUACCCCGCUGUUCUGACGGUACCCAAAGAAUAAGCACCGGCUAACUUCGUG
rnacentral:rRNA from 1 species